rnacentral:tRNA from 1 species
CAAGACGUAGCUUAAACCCAAAGCAUUCAGCUUACACCUGAAAGAUUCCUGCUCACACCAGGCCGUCUUGA